AGGAAUGACCGGAACCCACAGAAUUCUCCGGUUAGAUGCUAACAAGAGAAAGCAUCACCACUCCUUUUUUCCAAACUUAGACACCAAGAAUGAUUCAUCUAAGGCUCAUGACUAGAUGAGUAUCUCCAGCGCCUUUACGCGGCUUUUUAACAUUGACAAAAAUCUCUAACCCUAAGGACAAGGGCAAAAGGCUGACCUGUCUCCAGUUUAAGCUGCACUGGCUGCUGCAGAGGCUGACUUAGCUUUCUGAUAUGAUCCAGUCCUGGCACUGAACCCGGCCUCCUUUUGUCUAGCUGAACCAUGGACUCUGAAAGUUCUUCUCAGGAAUCCCAUUUUAAAAAAAGGACCCCAAGAAACCAGGCCUAAAGAAGGGAGGCCCCAGGUUCAAAUCUGGCCUCGGACAAUUUCCUAGCUGUGUGACCCUAGAUGGGAAAAUUUGGACCCCUAAAUGGACAAUCACCUAGGUACACAAAGUUAACAAGGGUCAAACGCAGCUCUUCCAGUGGAUGUCAUCUAGUGCUCUUUCCAGUACCAAAAGGUAAACUCUCUGAACGAAGGCAGUGUCCUCUUUGUAUU